GCCAAGCGGUGAUGAUGACGACAUGAUGUCGCUUUCCUGAAAAAAAAAACCUGAUGCUUUUAAGUCACUACCUCAUCUGAGCUUGUC